CCAAUAGCGUAUAUUAAAGUUGUUGCAGUUAAAAAGCUCGUAGUUGAAUUUCGGGGUUCUUCCGUUGGUCAGGCUAACAAGUCUGUACUAGCGUGUAGAAUCUCUACCUUCUGGGGAACCAUCAUGUUAUUAAUUUAGCGUGGUGGGAAACCAGGACCUUUACCUUGAAAAAAUUAGAGUGUUCAAAGCAGGCUUACGUCUGAAUACAUUAGCAUGGAAUAAUAAAAUAGGACGGUGGUCCUGUUUUGUUGGUUUCUGAAUCAACGUAAUGAUUAAUAGGGAUAGUUGGGGGCAUUAGUAUUCAAUUGUCAGAGGUGAAAUUCUUGGAUUUAUUGAAGACUAACUUCUGCGAAAGCAUUUGCCAAGGAUGUUUUCAUUAAUCAAGAACGAAAGUUAGGGGAUCGAAGACGAUCAGAUACCGUCGUAGUCUUAACCAUAAACUAUGCCGACUAGGGAUCGGACGAUGUUAAAUUUUAUUGACUCGUUCGGCGCCUUACG
rnacentral:misc_RNA from 1 species